rnacentral:lncRNA from 1 species
GCAACACAGCAAUCCACAGAGAAAAAGAGGGACACCCUCCCCUGUAGUUUGAGUAUAAUGCCAAACAGAAUAUAUAGGUUACCCUGUUAACAUAUCCUACCAUAUAGAUUCUCUUUUACUGUAUCUUUUUCUUUCAUAGUUUUCAACAUAUAUUUGCCUAAAGACCAUAUGUUAUGCUCCUUACUCGAUAACUUAAAUAUAGCAUCACAAAAUAAUGUUUUCUUGUUAGAGGAAUGUUUAUAUAUGUUGGAGGGCUUUGAAUUUG